AUACAGAGGGUGCGAGCGUUAAUCGGAAUUACUGGGCGUAAAGCGCGCGUAGGCGGCUUGGUCAGUCGGAUGUGAAAGCCCUGGGCUCAACCUGGGAAUUGCAUUCGAUACUGCCAAGCUAGAGUAUGGGAGAGGGAAGUGGAAUUUCCGGUGUAGCGGUGAAAUGCGUAGAUAUCUGAAAGAACACCAGUGGCGAAGGCGACUUCCUGGCCCAAUACUGACGCUGAGGUGCGAAAGCGUGGGGAGCGAACAGGAUUAGAUACCCUAGUAGUCC
rnacentral:rRNA from 1 species